rnacentral:rRNA from 1 species
GACGAACGCUGGCGGCGUGCUUAACACAUGCAAGUCGAACGAAGUGGCGAACGGGUGAGUAACGCGUAAUAAACCUGCCCUUCAGAGGGGGACAACAGUUGGAAACGACUGCUAAUACCGCAUACUGAAGGACGGGAUUGCGUCUGAUUAGCUAGUUGGAGGGGUAACGGCCCACGAAGGCGAUGAUCAGAAGCCGGUCUGGGAGGAUGAACGGCCACAUAGGGACGGAGCGACGGCCCAGACUCCUACGGGAGGCAGUAGUGGGGACUGUUCCGCAAUGGACGAAAGUCUGACGGAGCAACGCGGCGUGAGUGAGGACGGCCUUCGGGUUGUAAAGCUCUGUUAAUCGGGAAGCGGUACCGGAAUAGAAAGCCACGGCUAACUACGUGCCAGCCGCGUAAUUC